CCGACUUCUGAUGUGUUUAUUGUCGUGAAUACUUCAUUCAACUUAAGUACUAUUGAUGCUAUCAUAAGGCAAACCAUAUUAUGCACCUUCGGUAUAUAAUAUUCGAUUUAUAUAUAAAUAUACUUACUUGCUGCGCUUGCUACUAACAUUAUGACACCUACUACCCUUAUUUUGUACUCUGCGUGCCUUUUUUAUAUCACUAUGUAAUGAUGUUAAAUCGGUUACGAUACAGGACGAUGUGGAUGGAUUGCUGCUAAUUGAAGUAACUGGACCAACAUUGUUAUCGUUCGUAUCGCAACGAGCUACACCAUCGUCGCUGCUUCCAAUGCUAGCUUCUAAACUGCACUGAUUCACAUUAAGGGUGAAGAUGUCACCGCCGCCGUCGCUGGGUGUUGCAUUCAAAGAAUUUGACGUUAUUGUAGAUGUUAUUCCUUGCGGGCGGCCACUACUGCUAUUGUCAUCAUGUCGACGCUUUAAUGCUCUGGGCAUUGGCUUUGAG